rnacentral:lncRNA from 1 species
GUUGAGCUCUUGUGUUGUUAAAUUGUUUUCCAUUAUCUGAAAUCUGUAAAUAGUUGAUUUCUAACUGACGUCCAUAGUUUUGUGCUCGGUUAUCUUUGCAAGAGGUUUAACCACAGCCCAUUUUGUAAAGUAGUUAAUGGCGACGAUAGCAAACUUAGUUCCACCUCGUCUAGUAGGCAUGGGUCCAAUAAAGUCUAACCCCAAUUUUGAGAUCGGCUAAGGGCUAGUUAUGGUUGUAAGCUUCUCCCGAGGAGUUUGGACAAUGGGUACAAAUCAUUAUCUUGUGAGCUAAGGACUGUCUUCCUGUGUGAUUUUUGCAAAUUCCUUCAUGAAUUUCUUGUAAAGUGUACAAGGCAUUUUUUUUUCAUUUAGGCACCUCAAUAAUGGGAUCGCAUAUCCCCUUUUGUAGAGAACACCAUCUAAGAGCGUAUAUUAGGCUAACCUUAUCCUCAAUUUUUUGGCUAGGUCAGCGAGGCUUUCUCCAAUUCUUAGGAAUUGUAGAAUCUCAUCCAUCUAAGAAGGCUUGAGGUCUAUAGCCAUCAACAUCACAACAUUUUCCUCAAUAGCAGGCUAUCCAAUUCUUCCAAAGGGACGUUCUCUAGUUCAUUUACACUUUUGCUAGUUGUAAGCCUGGUUAGUGCAUCAAUAUAACUAUUUUGGAAUCGAGAUAUUUGUUUUACCUCUAUCAUCUUAAAGUUUCUUAAUUCUCUUUAGGCAACUUUCAGAUAGCUAUUCAUUAUGUCUUCUUUGUUCUCGAAGACCUCUUUGAUUUGGUUUAUUAUAAAAUGGUAGGCAAUGCGCACGUCAACCUUGAUAUUUUUAAUUCUUUGUCCAUUUUAAGGCCAUCUAUUAAUGCUUUACACUCUGCCUUGUUGUUAGAAGCCUUGAAGUUGAGGUUCAAUGCUUGAUAAUAGUGGCAAUCUGGACUAAUCACGACUACUUCGGCACUUGCUCAGACCUUAGUUGAAGACCCAUCAACAAACAACUCCCAAGGUCUAUCUUUGUAUAAAUCUUUUUGGGGAUCAGAGUUGAAUUCAGCUACAAAGUUGGCAAAGCCUGUCCUUCUUUAGCUGUUCGUGGCUUGUAAGAUAUAUUGAAUUGGUCAAGCUCGAUAGCCUAUUUUACCAAGCGUCCCGAGAUCUAGUUUUUGCAGUACUGGGGGUUAGAGAAUAGUUGGUUAAGGCCUGUAUGGGAUGUUUUAGAAAGUAGGGUCAUAGCUUUCUUGCUAAAUUAACUAGUUCUUAAGUGAGCUUUUCUAUAGGAGAAUAACGUAG